rnacentral:miRNA from 1 species
CCUCCAGCUUUUUUGAGACUACAAUUCCCCUCAUCCCUGACCACUGGUCCUGUUAGCUAGGGAUGAUGGGAGUUGUAGUCCCAAAACAUCUGGAGG